UAUUUUUUAAUUUUUUCUCUUUUUUAUUUUUUUCUGUUUUUUUCUUUUUAAAUUUUUCUCAAUCUUUAUUUUUGUUUUGUGUCUUUUUUUUAUUUUUUCUAAACCUUUAAUUUUUUGUUUUCUCCCACCAACCUCUAUAUUUUCUUUAUUUUUCUUUGAGUUCUUUAAAUAUUUUUCUUCAUUUUCUUCUUUUUCGUAAUUUUUAUUUUUUUUUCUUUUCUUCGAGUUCUUCCAAUCAAGUUACUCCCCAUGAGCAAGAGUUGGCACUACCACAUUGUAAAGGCAAGACUUAUGACUUUCAAAAAAAAAGUUACGUUUCAUAGACAAGAGUUGACACUAUCACAUUCUGUUUUGAUUUAUGAGAUGUUCUAUAACUCUUACCUUAGAGGCAAGACUAUAACUCUUGCCUUAGAGGCAAGGCUUAGCUCAAGGACUACAACUCUUGUCUUAGAGACAAAACUUAGCUUAAGGACUUUCAAACAACAAAUUAUGCUCCAUGUGCAAGAGUUGACACUAUCAUGUUAUGUUUUUAUUUAUGAGAUGUCCUACAACUCUUGCCUUAGGGGCACGACUUAUCCCAAGAAUUGUUAAACAAGUUACGUAAAUUGGGCAAGAGUCAACACUAACACAUUGUAUUUUUUACGUAUGAAAUAUUUUAUAACUCUUGUCUUAGAGGUACGACUCGGCCUAAGGACCAUCAAACAACAAGAUAUGCCUCAUGGGAAAGAGCUGACAUCACCACAUUGUGUAUUGAUU
rnacentral:lncRNA from 1 species